rnacentral:rRNA from 1 species
UACAGAGGUCCCAAGCGUUGUUCGGAUUCAUUGGGCGUAAAGGGUGCGUAGGUGGCAUGGUAAGUCGGGUGUGAAAUCCCGGGGCUCAACCCCGGAACUGCACUCGAUACUGCCGUGCUCGAGUACUGGAGAGGAGACUGGAAUUUACGGUGUAGCAGUGAAAUGCGUAGAUAUCGUAAGGAAGACCGGUGGCGAAGGCUAGUCUCUGGACAGUUCCUGACGCUGAGGCACGAAGGCCAGGGGAGCAAACGGG